UACGAAGGGGGCUAGCGUUGCUCGGAAUCACUGGGCGUAAAGCGCACGUAGGCGGCUUUCUAAGUCAGGGGUGAAAUCCUGGAGCUCAACUCCAGAACUGCCUUUGAUACUGGAGAGCUUGAGUCCGGAAGAGGUGAGUGGAACUCCGAGUGUAGAGGUGAAAUUCGAAGAUAUUCGGAAGAACACCAGUGGCGAAGGCGGCUCACUGGUCCGGUACUGACGCUGAGGUGCGAAAGCGUGGGGAGCAAACAGG
rnacentral:rRNA from 1 species